GUUGCUCCAGGGCCGGUGAAUCUAUAAAUUGGACCCUACAGUCAAUUAAGCCCGGGGGCUGUACCUUACGGUGGUGUGCAUGCCUGGCUAGGCCAGGAAGCCUAAAGCCGUAAAACGGCGCCCACGUUACGAUUCCGGGUUCCAAUUGACAUCACCGUGUUCUGGAGCACUU
rnacentral:other from 1 species